ensembl:lncRNA
CAAGCAUAUUUGUACAUGUCUUGGUCUGUUUCCUGUUGCUACAGCAAAAACCUGAGUCUGGGUACACUAUAAAGAAAUGUUGAUUCAGCUCAAGGAUUUGGAAGCUGAAAGUCCAAGACAGGGUGGCUCCACCGACUCAGUCUCUGAUGAGGGCCUCCCGGGAGCGUCACAAUAUGGUGGGCGGGAUCAGGACGUGGGGCACGAGCCCAGAGCGAGAAAGGAAUCUGCAAAGUGGAGCAGAGGCAGCCUGCUCUUCUGUGACAGCGCGUUCUCACCAGGACGAGCUCACUUUCAGAUCAGCAUUGCCUGCUUCUGAGGGCAGCUCCCCAAACGACCGAAUUAUGGUGCACCUUCCUCAGAGCCUCCUUUGCUAAGAGUUCCUCCAUCUCUCAAAGCCUCCACACUGGGCACCCAACUUUCCACACGCACACCCUUGGGGAACCAACUACAUCCAAACUGUCGCAAUAUGUGUGUUCUUGUACACUACGGUUUUCGUUUCCGAAGCGGAAGAUUCUCAAAGAUUGCGUCGGUGGUGAAGGAGGCGUGGGCAUUCUGAGUGUUAACCCGAAAGGACAGAUGCUGUGUGACACCACCUGGGGACACUCACUCGCUCUGCACACCUCGACGGCCUGAAAUCCUCCUGAAUUCACCUGGGCCCAGAGCUGGUCAGCCAGAGCUGCCACUUUCCAGCUCCUUGUCUGUGUGUGUCGGUGACGUCAGCUUAUGGCCGUGCUGUGUGAGAGGAGCUGAUGCAUGCGACUUCCCGGCCCUGUCCCAAGGAGGAAGCGACUUAUGCCUCCCUGCGGUUGCCCCUUCCUGCUGGCAGGAUGCAGGUGGGAAUGAGCGUGACCGGCCUGGAUCCCACCUUGGAAGCUGGCGGUGAAAAUGGCGGCGCCUCUCCCUCAGCCCGAGCCUGCAGGCUGCUGGAUGGUGACUGGGAAAGGGCUAUGCCUCUGCCUCUCCCAAGGCACCCCACUUUGGGGUCUCUGUAUACUGCAACUCACACAAUAUCCACGGGGAGAUGUCAAGAAGGCAUUUGGAUACGUGAAUGUACAGCUCGAGGAAAAGCCUGAGGAAGUCCAUUCAUCCCAUCCAAAAGAGGACCCAAAGUCUUUGAAUAUGGAUUUAAGAAGCGGAACACAGCUCUGCUUCACACCAUCCGAACAGCCAUCUGCUCUUCAGAAGGGCAGUGUUUCCCGCUCUGACUCUGGAAUCGAAAUUGAAACAGUUUUCUGAAAGAAUGUCGAAAGUAUUGGGUCUAUGUUGGGUUUCUACAGCUUGGCCAGGUCUGGAUCGAUAAAGCACUGUGAAAAGUCUCAAUUGUUGCCGAUCUCCCUGACAGGGCUAACAGAGUGUGACAUCAGUCGAUGAUGGACCAGAAGCAUCUAAAGCCCAGGAGAAGAUUUGGACACAACUUGCACUCAAGGAGCACGCCAUGUGAAGAUGGAGGCAGAGAUAAGAGUGAAGCAUCAGCAAAGCACACAGCUAGGAGGGCGUCACGGAAGAGAUUCCCCAUUCCUCACCCUCCUGGCACCUUGAUCUCAGACUUUCAAGCUUCAGCAUGUGG